UAUUGAUCUAAUUUUUGACAUUUGUAUUUAAAGUUUAUGUAACAAAUAUUAAUGAACUUGCAAUUUAGAAAUCAAUGAAUUUUGAAAAAAAAUCAUUUAUGUUUGUAAGUUAAGACAUGCUGGGACAUUCCAUGUUAUGAAGUCUGACAGACAAUGAGAUGGAAUGAGUACUUUGGUUCCCAAGCCUCUUUUUUAGUGUCCUUCCCGUUCUUCCUUUCAUGUGACAUUCCUGUUUGAUUUCUGAGUAGGUCUCUAAGGUUAACUAAUUCCUCAUUUUAUCGUAUUUGUUGUGUUCCUUCAGGUGUAUCUUUGCUGCUUAACUUGCCUGCAUGUUGAACCUUUCAUAUUAUAGGAUUACUCUGCAUUUUGUUUCAAGAAAGCUACUGCUUCAAGACAUUGCAAAUAUAAUUAAUUCUUACAUUCCCUUUGCUUUGAUCAAAUUGCAAAUUAAGCUUUACAUUUCAAUUGCAAUCUUUUCAGAUGGACCUUCAUGAGGUGGCCCAGAGAAUUGAGAACAAUAGUCCACCUGCAGAGAUUUUUCGGUCUUUGCUUCAAAGUACGGAAUCUUUACAGCGUAGUGGAAGUACUGAUCAAAGUCUUGUUGAUGAACUGUGUAGUGCGGAGGGCCUAGCAAACGAAUUCAUGCAGAUGCUGCGCAGUGAUGUUUCCCAGAGAUUCCAGGAUAAACAGUGCCAAUAGGAAACAUUUUUUAAUCUAUUUUUCCGCAAAAUUUGAUUUAUUUCCAAUAGAAUGUUAAGUUGCCGUUUGUUUUUGGCCUCAAGUCAACUAUCGAUUAUGAUAGUCUCUCUUCUUUUUUGGGGUGUCAUGGAGGAAAAAUAUCAUUAUGCUAUUCUGGUGUGUAUAUACGCAUGGGAUAGUUAUUAUUGCUAGUUCUGUGUUAGUAACUUAUAACGCCUGCAGUACAAGAAAGAGUUUAGAACCGGCUAAUCAGACUUGCGGUGGAGUUUAUGUAUCUUUCGAUGGUGCGAGUUUUUUCUUAAGAAAUUCCAUUUUGCGAUGUA